rnacentral:misc_RNA from 1 species
GAAAUGCGAUAAGUAAUGUGAAUUGCAGAAUUCAGUGAAUCAUCGAAUCUUUGAACGCACAUUGCGCCCAUUAGUAUUCUAGUGGGCAUGCCUGUUCGAGCGUCAUUUCAACCCUCAAGCCUUUAGUUGCUUGGUGUUGGGAGCUUAUCCCGCCGGAAGGCGGGACAACUCCUUAAAGCUAUCGGCGGAGUCGCGGUGACCCUAAGCGUAGUAAUAUCCUUUCUCGCUCUAGGUGUCGACGCUGGCUUCUAGCCGUUAAAACCGCCCUAUUUUUUUUAAUGGUUGACCUCGGAUCAGGUAGGACUACCCGCUGAACUUAA